rnacentral:rRNA from 2 species
UCGAACGCGUUGGCCCAAUUGAUUGAUGGUGCUUGCACCUGAUUGAUUUUGGUCGCCAACGAGUGGCGGACGGGUGAGUAACACGUAGGUAACCUGCCCAGAAGCGGGGGACAACAUUUGGAAACAGAUGCUAAUACCGCAUAACAGCGUUGUUCGCAUGAACAACGCUUAAAAGAUGGCUUCUCGCUAUCACUUCUGGAUGGACCUGCGGUGCAUUAGCUUGUUGGUGGGGUAACGGCCUACCAAGGCGAUGAUGCAUAGCCGAGUUGAGAGACUGAUCGGCCACAAUGGGACUGAGACACGGCCCAUACUCCUACGGGAGGCAGCAGUAGGGAAUCUUCCACAAUGGGCGCAAGCCUGAUGGAGCAACACCGCGUGAGUGAAGAAGGGUUUCGGCUCGUAAAGCUCUGUUGUUAAAGAAGAACACGUAUGAGAGUAACUGUUCAUACGUUGACGGUAUUUAACCAGAAAGUCACGGCUAACUACGUGCCAGCAGCCGCGGUAAUACGUAGGUGGCAAGCGUUAUCCGGAUUUAUUGGGCGUAAAGAGAGUGCAGGCGGUUUUCUAAGUCUGAUGUGAAAGCCUUCGGCUUAACCGGAGAAGUGCAUCGGAAACUGGAUAACUUGAGUGCAGAAGAGGGUAGUGGAACUCCAUGUGUAGCGGUGGAAUGCGUAGAUAUAUGGAAGAACACCAGUGGCGAAGGCGGCUACCUGGUCUGCAACUGACGCUGAGACUCGAAAGCAUGGGUAGCGAACAGGAUUAGAUACCCUGGUAGUCCAUGCCGUAAACGAUGAGUGCUAGGUGUUGGAGGGUUUCCGCCCUUCAGUGCCGGAGCUAACGCAUUAAGCACUCCGCCUGGGGAGUACGACCGCAAGGUUGAAACUCAAAGGAAUUGACGGGGGCCCGCACAAGCGGUGGAGCAUGUGGUUUAAUUCGAAGCUACGCGAAGAACCUUACCAGGUCUUGACAUCUUGCGCCAACCCUAGAGAUAGGGCGUUUCCUUCGGGAACGCAAUGACAGGUGGUGCAUGGUCGUCGUCAGCUCGUGUCGUGAGAUGUUGGGUUAAGUCCCGCAACGAGCGCAACCCUUGUUACUAGUUGCCAGCAUUAAGUUGGGCACUCUAGUGAGACUGCCGGUGACAAACCGGAGGAAGGUGGGGACGACGUCAGAUCAUCAUGCCCCUUAUGACCUGGGCUACACACGUGCUACAAUGGACGGUACAACGAGUCGCGAACUCGCGAGGGCAAGCAAAUCUCUUAAAACCGUUCUCAGUUCGGACUGCAGGCUGCAACUCGCCUGCACGAAGUCGGAAUCGCUAGUAAUCGCGGAUCAGCAUGCCGCGGUGAAUACGUUCCCGGGCCUUGUACACACCGCCCGUCACACCAUGAGAGUUUGUAACACCCAAAGUCGGUGGGGUAACCUUUUAGGAGCCAGCCGCCUAAGGUGG